GCACGUUUGAGGACUUUACCUGCUAAGCCCUCGCCAGCCGCUGUACCAAAGGCCUAGGUGGGGAGGGCUGGGGGAGCAAGGGGUACCUAACUGCCCCCAGCUACCCUGGGGACUUAAACUGCAUCCCUGGGCAGUGGUUCCCUCUUGUCUGUGGUGAGAAAGGAGUCUUGACCAGAGUCCUCUCCCAGCCUCUAUCUCAUCUUUUUAUUUUAACAAAAUUAAACUAAUAUAAAGAGAGAGAGAGAGAGAGAGAGAGAGAGAGAGAGAGAGAGAUCAGCCGCGACCUCAGGCUGCCCCUCUGCUCCACGCUGCCGCCCCCAGCUCCAAGCCUGAAUUCUGUCUGUCUGGCUGUAUGUCAUCUGAGUGUCCACCUACAUUCUGCUGCCUCCAGUCACCAAAGCCCCCUCCUAGUGAGGGGUGGAGGGGAUCUCUAGGGUCUGAAAUUUGGCCCCAAACCAGAGAAUGUACCUUAAGGGAGAGGGCUGGUGUGGGGGCUUCCCUAGCCUUAAGAGAUGCUCUCAGCCGGGUGACUCCCCACGAGCCCAAGUCUCCAGGUAAGGACUCCGUGCCCAGUUACUGCUCCCUCAAGCAUACGGAAUCUUUACGGGGCAGAGGAUUUCCUGAAGAAGUAGAGAUUGGGACUCCAUGUGGCCCUGGUGCUGUAGGCCACAUCCCAAUAUCUGUAAGUCACCUCCACCCCAAAGCUGCUGGAGAGAGAUCCCAAGAGGCAACCCUCUGUGACAUCCCCCAGAAGACCUGGCUGGUUAGCGCCCGGCUCAGGGAGAGGGGCACGGCCGCCUGACCUCACUGGCUUCUCUCUCAGAGGCCUUUGCAGAAGGCCACAUCCAUAAAUUUUCUUAUGGAACAAUCCCAAGUCCUCUUCCCCGACGUCAUCCGCUUCUCUCGGCAACCUCAUCUGCAUUUUCUAUUUCUAUAUGAUACAGACUCUAUAUUACUAUAACCUUGUAUAUACUCCCCUCCGGCCCUGUUUGUCUCCCCCUCCAUUCCCUCUUGUCUCCAAGAACCGCCCUCCCGCCCCUAGUUCUCCCUUCUGUCUCUCCCCCAUUCUCCUGUCUCUGAAUGCCUUUGCCCGUAUAAAGAGCUGGAUUCUCCCCUGGUGUCUGUACUGUACUGUGUACACACAUCCCUCUGAGAAGCACAAGGAGAUGACACGCGCAUUGUAACCUUCGCACUGUCUCGGUGGCGACAUAAAGGAAGCUGUGAAUUACAAGCUCUGCCUCUUUCUGGCCUCGCCCUUUGCCCCCACGACCGGGGCACCCUCUGCCCUCCCCACAGCCUUAACAUACCCUCUACCUUGCUCCACCUAUCCCAGUGCCCUUUGCCUGGCUGACUGUGGCCUCCCUGAGGGAAGUGACUGCUGGAGAGGUAGCUCCUACCCAGGAAUGGAGGACACUAAGCGGAGAGAGUUACAGACGGGAGGUGGGGAGGGAGGCUGGGGAUUGGUGACUCCCUCUUGCAGCUGGGCGGUGGGUACCCACAGCCAGAAGCCGGAGCCCUGACUCAGUGGCCUUUCUUUCUUCGGGGUGCCCAGGGCCCAGUCCUCACCUUGAUGCCCAGGCCCACCGCUUGCAUUUUCUGGUGAGUCAGGGCGUGGUCACAUGAGGAAAGAGAUUGGCCUAGAGCAGAAGUUGAAAGACGUGCUGUUGUGUGUCCCUACCCUAAGGGGGCCACAAGGUGAGGUAGAGGGCCUCCUCAACCAGACACCCUUCCCAGGCCAGCUCUCCAAUCUCAUUCCUGGCCUUCUCUGUCCCCACUGUCUCUUGGUCUCUAAUCCCAAAACAGGACUUAUGGGCAGAUCACCUGUGUACGUUGGCCUGGAGCCAGAGAGCAAGGCUUUGGCAUCUUUGAGACCUCUUGGUUCUCAAGAGUUGUUUAGAGAUCAGAACUCCCCAGAAAGAAACAGGGCAAAGCUGAGAAAUGUACACUGGCUGGGGGGGCAGCAGGAGGGGCUCUGGGUGACGCAUGCCUCUGGUCUAAUAAACUGGGUUUCAACCAUC
rnacentral:lncRNA from 1 species